UACGUAGGGGGCAAGCGUUGUCCGGAUUUAUUGGGCGUAAAGAGCGUGUAGGCGGCUUUACAGGUCCGUUGUGAAAACUCGAGGCUCAACCUCGAGACGCCGGUGGAAACCGUAAAGCUAGAGUCCGGAAGAGGAGAGUGGAAUUCCUGGUGUAGCGGUGAAAUGCGCAGAUAUCAGGAGGAACACCCGUGGCGAAAGCAGCUCUCUGGGACGGUACUGACGCUGAGACGCGAAAGCGUGGGGAGCGAACAGG
rnacentral:rRNA from 1 species